rnacentral:lncRNA from 1 species
AGGUGGAAGAGGAGAGGAAAAGAAGAGAAAGGAGAAAAACAAGAUGCUGGAGUUGCUGCUGCUGGGCUGCACCGGCGUCGUCGUCGUCCUCCACGGCGCCAAUUUCUUCUUCCAUCUCCUCUGCCGUCGCAUCCCCCUCUUCCGAUCUCUCAGGCAAUACAACUUCUUUCCUCAAACCUUCUUCAUAGUACCCAAUCACGCAAAAGAAUUGAAUUUCGCAAAUUCAAACGAUCUGAUUUUUUUAACUUGAAAAUAUUCUUUUACUUCGAAUCAGUGGAAUUGGGUAAAGGACUCUAUUGUCCACUUCCAAAAGAAAUCCUCACAAAUCCCAUCCCAAAUCAUUGGAUUUGCUUGUAGUUGCUGGAAUUAAUUAUUCCAAAUCGUAAAAAAUUCGUGAAAUUCGCAUCCACUAGUUUGUUUCUUCUAACACAAAAUUUAGUAUUUUUCUUUUUUUUUUUUUCUUUUGUAUUAGUAAUUUCAUCUAAACAGCGCUGUGGAUGAUAUCAUUUUGUGUUAAAAUCAAUUUAGGCCUAAUUUUGAAUUACGUUGUUAAAGCCGUUAUUUUUAUAUUUUGAAAGCUAAAAAAAAUAAUAAUAAUAAAUCUAAACAAGUCAAUUAAACUCCUAUAAAUUUUUGUAUUAUUUUUUGACUAAAUUACAGAAAACUCUCUUAUAAAUAUCUUCUUUUUUUUUAAUUUUGCUCCCUAACUUUUAAAAACCUAUAUUUCACCCCUCAAUAUUUUAAGUUGUUGUAUUUAGCCCCCUUCGUCAGGAUUCCAUUACUAUUUCGUUCAUUUCUUGUAAUUUAUACUGAAAAUAUCUUUUAAAAUUUCAAAAAUAUAUUAGAAAUUAUUUUUUUUCUUAUAAAAAAGUAAGAAUAAUUUGAUCAUUUUGCCAUUUCUGUUAACAUCGUACCUCCUGAAAAUAUUUCUGAAAUUUUAAAGUAGACAAAAUAUAUAUAGAUUUUUUAACCUAUUUUUUUUUUUAUAGUUUUGAUUUUUGAUUUCUUUGUUGCAGUUUUCUCGGAUUCGUGGGAUGGUAGGGCAUGGAUUGACUUGGCGAGAUCACUGAUGAGUUGAGAAGAUGCAUGGAUUUAGUGAUACACUUGUGAGCUAGCACUCUAUCAAUUAGAGUUCAAUUAAUCAUUCCACUUCACAGAAGAGUUCGAUUUGAUUUACUUAGAAAUGAUUAUGUUUAGUUGAAUAAAUUAUGAGUCGAGUUAACUUUUACUGAGUUUCCUUCCUUGGAAAGAAAGAAAAAGCUAUUUCAACAUUUUUAUGUAGUUAUAAAUAGGCUAAAUUAUAAAAAAUUUAUAUAUAUAUA